rnacentral:rRNA from 1 species
UCCGUAGGUGAACCUGCGGAAGGAUCAUUACAGAAAGUAAACGCGGAUCAAACCGCGAACUUCUAAACCUUUGACGAUUGACUCGUGUUGCCUCGGCGGGUUCUCCCGCCAGAGGAUACAUCAAAACUCCUGUUUUAACGGUGUUGUCUGAGCUACAAGCAACGAAUCAAAACUUUCAACAACGGAUCUCUUGGUUCUGGCAUCGAUGAAGAACGCAGCGAAAUGCGAUAAGUAGUGUGAAUUGCAGAAUUCAGUGAAUCAUCGAAUCUUUGAACGCACAUUGCGCCCCUUGGUAUCCCGAGGGGCAUGCCUGUUCGAGCGUCAUUUCACCACUCAAGCCUGGCUUGGUGUUGGGCGACGUCCCCUUUGGGGACGCGCCUCGAAACGCUCGGCGGCGUGGCACCGGCUUUAAGCGUAGCAGAAUCUUUCGCUUCAAAAGUCAGGGCCCCGUCUGCCGGAAGACCUACUCGCAAGGUUGACCUCGGAUCAGGCA